rnacentral:tRNA from 3 species
GCCCGAGUGGUGAAAUUGGUAUACACGACGGAUUCAAAAUCCGUUUCCUUCGGGAGUGUCGGUUCAAGUCCGACCUUGGGCACCA